AUUGAACGCUGGCGGCAGGCUUAACACAUGCAAGUCGAACGAGUGGCGGACGGGUGAGUAAUGUCUGGGAAACUGCCCGAUGGCGGGGGAUAACUACUGGAAACGGUAGCUAAUACCGCAUACUAUCGGAGGUGCCGAUAUGGGAUUAGCUAGUAGGUGGGGUAAAGGCUCACCAAGGCGACGAUCCCUAGCUGGUCUGAGAGGAUGACCAGCCACACUGGAACUGAGACACGGUCCAGACUCCUACGGGAGGCAGCAGUGGGGAAUAUUGCACAAUGGGCGAAAGCCUGAUGCAGCCAUGCCGCGUGUAUGAAGAAGGCCUUCGGGUUGUAAAGUACUUUCAGCGGGGAGGCGUUACCCGCAGAAGAAGCACCGGCUAACUCCGUGCCAGCAGCCGCGGUAAUUC
rnacentral:rRNA from 1 species